UACGUAGGGGGCAAGCGUUGUCCGGAUUUAUUGGGCGUAAAGAGCGUGUAGGCGGCCAGGUAGGUCCGCUGUGAAAACUCGAGGCUCAACCUCGAGAUGUCGGCGGAAACCAUCUGGCUAGAGUCCGGAAGAGGAGAGUGGAAUUCCUGGUGUAGCGGUGAAAUGCGCAGAUAUCAGGAAGAACACCCGUGGCGAAGGCGGUCUGCUGGGCAGUUGCUGACACUGAUGCGCGACAGCGUGGGGAGCAAACAGG
rnacentral:rRNA from 1 species